rnacentral:rRNA from 1 species
GACGAACGCUGGCGGCGUGCCUAAUACAUGCAAGUAGAACGCUGAAGGAGGAGCUUGCUUCUCCGGAUGAGUUGCGAACGGGUGAGUAACGCGUAGGUAACCUGCCUGGUAGCGGGGGAUAACUAUUGGAAACGAUAGCUAAUACCGCAUAAGAGUAGAUGUUGCAUGACAUUUGCUUAAAAGGUGCAAUUGCAUCACUACCAGAUGGACCUGCGUUGUAUUAGCUAGUUGGUGGGGUAACGGCUCACCAAGGCGACGAUACAUAGCCGACCUGAGAGGGUGAUCGGCCACACUGGGACUGAGACACGGCCCAGACUCCUACGGGAGGCAGCAGUAGGGAAUCUUCGGCAAUGGACGGAGGUCUGACCGAGCAACGCCGCGUGAGUGAAGAAGGUUUUCGGACCGUAAAGCUCUGUUGUAAGAGAAGAACGAGUGUGAGAGUGGAAAGUUCACACUGUGACGGUAUCUUACCAGAAAGGGACGGCUAACUACGUGCCAGCAGCCGCGGUAAUACGUAGGUCCCGAGCGUUGUCCGGAUUUAUUGGGCGUAAAGCGAGCGCAGGCGGUUAGAUAAGUCUGAAGUUAAAGGCUGUGGCUUAACCAUAGUACGCUUUGGAAACUGUUUAACUUGAGUGCAAGAGGGGAGAGUGGAAUUCCAUGUGUAGCGGUGAAAUGCGUAGAUAUAUGGAGGAACACCGGUGGCGAAAGCGGCUCUCUGGCUUGUAACUGACGCUGAGGCUCGAAAGCGUGGGGAGCAAACAGG